UACGAAGGGUGCAAACGUUGCUCGGAAUUAUUGGGCGUAAAGCGCACGUAGGCGGCUUGGCAAGUCGGAUGUGAAAUCCCGUGGCUCAACCAUGUGGUCUGCAGUCGAUACGGGCAGGCUAGAAUUCGGUAGGGGAGACUGGAAUUCCUGGUGUAGCGGUGAAAUGCGCAGAUAUCAGGAGGAACACCGGUGGCGAAGGCGGGUCUCUGGGCCGAUAUUGACGCUGAGGAGCGAAAGCGUGGGGAGCGAACAGG
rnacentral:rRNA from 1 species